GCAAGUCGAGGGGUAACAGAUGAAGAGCUUGCUCAGAUUGCUGACGACCGGCGCACGGGUGAGUAACACGUAUGCAACCUACCUUUUACAGAGGGAUUGCCCAGCGAAAUUUGGAUUAAUACCUCAUCAUAUUUUUGACUCGCAUGAGUUUUAAAUUAAAACUUCGGUGGUAAAAGAUGGGCAUGCGUUCUAUUAGUUUGUUGGUGAGGUAACGGCUUACCAAGACUACGAUAGAUAGGGGUUCUGAGAGGAUAAGC
rnacentral:rRNA from 1 species